rnacentral:misc_RNA from 1 species
UGGGCACUGAGACGCAUUCCUUCAAGGGCCGGGUGGGAUGGCAGGCAGACGACAUGGCUUUCAAAGGAAGUCGAGGCGAGGAAAAGAGGCGAAGAGAGGCGAAGUAUGGCGGCACCAUCAAAGCAGUUUCAAAAAGUGUGAGACCGUGAUGGAAAGCAGCGGAACCGGUGCGUCGUGAGACUGUGUACGUGAGGAUGGCAGCAGGCCAGUGCCGGUGAGUUUUGUUUGCGCGUGCGCUCCCAAUGAAUCGUCGUUUUUCAAGCAUGCAAUGGCUUCUUGCUGCUCUUAUCCGCCUGGUGUAUGUUGGAUGCAAAAACACGAAGCGCCCACGGCUGACGCGCCAUCCCUCUCACUUCGCGCACGUGUUUCCUCGGCCCCUUCGCAAUGUCAAUGACGUGCGUAUGUGUGAUUGAUCAUACGGAAUCUGGCAAUGCACCUUGUAUGGCUCAUGUUCCCCGGAUGGGCCAUUCGCGGCAUUAACGGCCGGUGUUUGAUAGUGCGCCUCCAUGGCAGAAGGGGACAGGGAGGCUCUUGUUUGCGUCGCCCUGUGUAAAGAAAGCGCCCAAAGAAAAUGCAAAGAAUCCAUACAUGUGCGGACAGCGAUGUGGGUGUUGGUGCAUGGUACGAUGACUCCACGUGAAAAGGACAGCUCUGCACCGGUGGACCGCAUCCCUUGCAGCACAGUCACCCGCAUGUCUUGUGUCUUGAUGAUUGGCGAACCAUGUGCGGCGACGCUUCGUCAUACUUUUCGACGGCACAAAAUGUUGUCGCUUCUCUUUUUUUUUUUCGCCCUCUGCAAACCCAGAGCACAAAGAGACAACCACUGCAGGGAGAGCAGUACUUCCGCUGCGACAGGUGUAACGGACCCAUGGAACGCCGUGCGGCCCCCACGGGUGUAAGCGUGCGUGUGUGUCUUGCCGCGUUUGGUAUAUUGACCAGACGCAUGAGUCUCCGGGACGAGCUUCUCGCCGCAGAGACGAAGAGGUCGCGAUGGCCGCCGUCGGGGCGGGGGACCGUUGGCGCGUCGCAUCGCUUCUAUUACUUCUUAGCGUCUCAUGUCCGGCGUUCACCACCUUGCCUUCAACGACUGCUCUCGCCUCACACAUACCCACGCCUGCCUGACUUCAUCUCUGAUACGCCUUUUCCGCAAACAAG